GUGAAACGUCCAAAACAGUCAGGAGGUUGGCUUAGAAGCAGCCAUCCUUUAAAGAGUGCGUAAUAGCUCACUAGUCGAGUGACCCUGCGCCGAAAAUGUACCGGGGCUAAAACAAUUUACCGAAGCUGUGGAUACCUUUAUAGGUAUGGUAGGAGAGCGUUCUAUGUGCGAAGAAGGUGUACCGUGAGGAGUGCUGGAGCGCAUAGAAGUGAGAAUGCCGGUAUGAGUAGCGAAAGACAGGUGAGAAUCCUGUCCACCGUAAGACUAAGGUUUCCAGGGGAAGGCUCGUCCGCCCUGGGUAAGUCGGGACCUAAGGUGAGGCCGAAAGGCGUAGCUGAUGGAUAUCAGGUUGAUAAUCCUGGACCACCAUAGAGCUGAAGGAGUGACGGAGGAGGGAAGUUAGGAUGGACUGGUGGAAUAGUCUAAUGAAGCACAAAGAGGGAUACGUAGGAAAAACCGCGUAUUAGAACCUUGAAGUGUAAACCGCAAGGCCUAAUGGACCACACUUCCAAGAAAAGCUUCUAGGAAUACUUUAUGGUGCCCGUACCGUAAACGGACACACGUAGGCGAGGAGAGAAUCCAAAGACGCGCGAGAUAAUUCUUGUUAAGGAACUCUGCAAAAUGACCCUGUAACUUCGGGAUAAAGGGGACUCUAGAGAUAGAGGCGCAGAAAAUAGGCCCAAGCGACUGUUUAACAAAAACAUAGGUUUCUGCUAAAGCGAAAGCUGAUGUAUAGGAGCUGACGCCUGCCCAGUGCUGGAAGGUCAAGGGGAGAUGUUAGAAGAAAUUCGAAGCAUAGAACCAAAGCCCCAGUGAACGGCGGCCGUAACUAUAACGGUCCUAAGGUAGCGAAAUUCCUUGUCAGGUAAGUUCUGACCCGCACGAAAGGCGUAAUGAUUUGGGCACUGUCUCGACAAUGUACCCGGCGAAAUUGUAGUACUAGUGAAGAUGCUAGUUACCUGCGACAAGACAGAAAGACCCCAUGGAGCUUUACUGUAGUUUGAUAUUGGGUUUUGGUAAUUUAUGUACAGGAUAGGUGGGAGACAGAGAAGGAUGUGCGUCAGCAUAUCUGGAGUCAACGUUGGGAUACCACUCUUAAGUUAUUGAAAUUCUAACUUGUGAUCAUAAACUGGUCAGAGGACAAUGUCAGACGGGCAGUUUGACUGGGGCGGUCGCCUCCAAAAGAGUAACGGAGGCGCCCAAAGGUUCCCUCAGUGCGGACAGAAAUCGCACAAAAGAGUGUAAAGGCAGAAGGGAGCUUAACUGGAAGAUAGACAUAUCGAGCAGAUACGAAAGUAGGGCUUAGUGAUCCGGUGGAAUUGAAUGGAAAAGCCAUCGCUCAACGGACAAAAGUUACCCUGGGGAUAACAGGCUUAUCUCCCCCAAGAGUUCACAUCGACGGGGAGGUUUGGCAC
rnacentral:rRNA from 1 species